UACGGAGGAUCCAAGCGUUAUCCGGAAUCAUUGGGUUUAAAGGGUCCGUAGGCGGUUUUGUAAGUCAGUGGUGAAAGCCCAUCGCUCAACGGUGGAACGGCCAUUGAUACUGCAAGACUUGAAUUAUUAGGAAGUAACUAGAAUAUGUAGUGUAGCGGUGAAAUGCUUAGAGAUUACAUGGAAUACCAAUUGCGAAGGCAGGUUACUACUAAUUGAUUGGCGCUGAUGGACGAAAGCGUGGGGAGCGAACAGG
rnacentral:rRNA from 1 species